UUAAGCGACUAAGCGUACACGGUGGAUGCCCUGGCAGUCAGAGGCGAUGAAGGACGUGCUAAUCUGCGAUAAGCGUCGGUGAGGUGAUAUGAACCGUUAUAACCGGCGAUUUCCGAAUGGGGAAACCCAGUGUGUUUCGACACACUAUCAUUAACUGAAUCCAUAGGUUAAUGAGGCGAACCGGGGGAACUGAAACAUCUAAGUACCCCGAGGAAAAGAAAUCAACCGAGAUUCCCCCAGUAGCGGCGAGCGAACGGGGAGGAGCCCAGAGCCUGAAUCAGUGUGUGUGUUAGUGGAAGCGUCUGGAAAGGCGCGCGAUACAGGGUGACAGCCCCGUACACAAAAAUGCACAUGCUGUGAGCUCGAUGAGUAGGGCGGGACACGUGGUAUCCUGUCUGAAUAUGGGGGGACCAUCCUCCAAGGCUAAAUACUCCUGACUGACCGAUAGUGAACCAGUACCGUGAGGGAAAGGCGAAAAGAACCCCGGCGAGGGGAGUGAAAAAGAACCUGAAACCGUGUACGUACAAGCAGUGGGAGCCUCUUAAUGGGGUGACUGCGUACCUUUUGUAUAAUGGGUCAGCGACUUAUAUUCUGUAGCAAGGUUAACCGAAUAGGGGAGCCGAAGGGAAACCGAGUCUUAACUGGGCGUUAAGUUGCAGGGUAUAGACCCGAAACCCGGUGAUCUAGCCAUGGGCAGGUUGAAGGUUGGGUAACACUAACUGGAGGACCGAACCGACUAAUGUUGAAAAAUUAGCGGAUGACUUGUGGCUGGGGGUGAAAGGCCAAUCAAACCGGGAGAUAGCUGGUUCUCCCCGAAAGCUAUUUAGGUAGCGCCUCGUGAAUUCAUCUCCGGGGGUAGAGCACUGUUUCGGCAAGGGGGUCAUCCCGACUUACCAACCCGAUGCAAACUGCGAAUACCGGAGAAUGUUAUCACGGGAGACACACGGCGGGUGCUAACGUCCGUCGUGAAGAGGGAAACAACCCAGACCGCCAGCUAAGGUCCCAAAGUCAUGGUUAAGUGGGAAACGAUGUGGGAAGGCCCAGACAGCCAGGAUGUUGGCUUAGAAGCAGCCAUCAUUUAAAGAAAGCGUAAUAGCUCACUGGUCGAGUCGGCCUGCGCGGAAGAUGUAACGGGGCUAAACCAUGCACCGAAGCUGCGGCAGCGACACUAUGUGUUGUUGGGUAGGGGAGCGUUCUGUAAGCCUGUGAAGGUGGCCUGUGAGGGUUGCUGGAGGUAUCAGAAGUGCGAAUGCUGACAUAAGUAACGAUAAAGCGGGUGAAAAGCCCGCUCGCCGGAAGACCAAGGGUUCCUGUCCAACGUUAAUCGGGGCAGGGUGAGUCGACCCCUAAGGCGAGGCCGAAAGGCGUAGUCGAUGGGAAACAGGUUAAUAUUCCUGUACUUGGUGUUACUGCGAAGGGGGGACGGAGAAGGCUAUGUUGGCCGGGCGACGGUUGUCCCGGUUUAAGCGUGUAGGCUGGUUUUCCAGGCAAAUCCGGAAAACCAAGGCUGAGGCGUGAUGACGAGGCACUACGGUGCUGAAGUGACAAAUGCCCUGCUUCCAGGAAAAGCCUCUAAGCAUCAGGUAACAUCAAAUCGUACCCCAAACCGACACAGGUGGUCAGGUAGAGAAUACCAAGGCGCUUGAGAGAACUCGGGUGAAGGAACUAGGCAAAAUGGUGCCGUAACUUCGGGAGAAGGCACGCUGAUAUGUAGGUGAAGCGACUUGCUCGUGGAGCUGAAAUCAGUCGAAGAUACCAGCUGGCUGCAACUGUUUAUUAAAAACACAGCACUGUGCAAACACGAAAGUGGACGUAUACGGUGUGACGCCUGCCCGGUGCCGGAAGGUUAAUUGAUGGGGUUAGCGGUAACGCGAAGCUCUUGAUCGAAGCCCCGGUAAACGGCGGCCGUAACUAUAACGGUCCUAAGGUAGCGAAAUUCCUUGUCGGGUAAGUUCCGACCUGCACGAAUGGCGUAAUGAUGGCCAGGCUGUCUCCACCCGAGACUCAGUGAAAUUGAACUCGCUGUGAAGAUGCAGUGUACCCGCGGCAAGACGGAAAGACCCCGUGAACCUUUACUAUAGCUUGACACUGAACAUUGAGCCUUGAUGUGUAGGAUAGGUGGGAGGCUUUGAAGUGUGGACGCCAGUCUGCAUGGAGCCGACCUUGAAAUACCACCCUUUAAUGUUUGAUGUUCUAACGUUGGCCCCUAAUCGGGGUUGCGGACAGUGUCUGGUGGGUAGUUUGACUGGGGCGGUCUCCUCCUAAAGAGUAACGGAGGAGCACGAAGGUUGGCUAAUCCUGGUCGGACAUCAGGAGGUUAGUGCAAUGGCAUAAGCCAGCUUGACUGCGAGCGUGACGGCGCGAGCAGGUGCGAAAGCAGGUCAUAGUGAUCCGGUGGUUCUGAAUGGAAGGGCCAUCGCUCA
rnacentral:rRNA from 1 species